GGGCACAUGGUCUAGUGGUAUGAUACUCCCUUCGCAUACAAAAUUCAUGUGAUUUGGGAGGGGUCCGGGGUUCAAUUCCCUGUGUGUCCA